GGUGGGGUGCAGCUCAAUGGUACAGUACAUGUCUAGCAUACUUGAUGUCCUGGGUUUGAUUCCUAGCACAACCA
rnacentral:tRNA from 1 species